CAGGCUUAACACAUGCAAGUCGAGGGGCAUCAGGAAGAAAGCUUGCUUUCUUUGCUGGCGACCGGCGCACGGGUGAGUAACACGUAUCCAACCUGCCCUUUACUCGGGGAUAGCCUUUCGAAAGAAAGAUUAAUACCCGAUGGCAUAAUGAUUCCGCAUGGUUUCAUUAUUAAAGGAUUCCGGUAAAGGAUGGGGAUGCGUUCCAUUAGGUUGUUGGUGGGGUAACGGCCCACCAAGCCUUCGAUGGAUAGGGGUUCUGAGAGGAAGGUCCCCCACAUUGGAACUGAGACACGGUCCAAACUCCUACGGGAGGCAGCAGUGAGGAAUAUUGGUCAAUGGGCGCUAGCCUGAACCAGCCAAGUAGCGUGAAGGAUGAAGGCUCUAUGGGUCGUAAACUUCUUUUAUAUAAGAAUAAAGUGCAGUAUGUAUACUGUUUUGUAUGUAUUAUAUGAAUAAGGAUCGGCUAACUCCGUGCCAGCAGCCGCGGUAAUACGGAGGAUCCGAGCGUUAUCCGGAUUUAUUGGGUUUAAAGGGAGCGUAGGUGGACUGGUAAGUCAGUUGUGAAAGUUUGCGGCUCAACCGUAAAAUUGCAGUUGAUACUGUCAGUCUUGAGUACAGUAGAGGUGGGCGGAAUUCGUGGUAUAGCGGUGAAAUGCUUAGAUAUCACGAAGAACUCCGAUUGCGAAGGCAGCUCACUGGACUGCAACUGACACUGAUGCUCGAAAGUGUGGGUAUCAAACAGGAUUAGAUACCCUGGUAGUCCACACAGUAAACGAUGAAUACUCGCUGUUUGCGAUAUACAGUAAGCGGCCAAGCGAAAGCAUUAAGUAUUCCACCUGGGGAGUACGCCGGCAACGGUGAAACUCAAAGGAAUUGACGGGGGCCCGCACAAGCGGAGGAACAUGUGGUUUAAUUCGAUGAUACGCGAGGAACCUUACCCGGGCUUAAAUUGCAGUGGAAUGAUGUGGAAACAUGUCAGUGAGCAAUCACCGCUGUGAAGGUGCUGCAUGGUUGUCGUCAGCUCGUGCCGUGAGGUGUCGGCUUAAGUGCCAUAACGAGCGCAACCCUUAUCUUUAGUUACUAACAGGUCAUGCUGAGGACUCUAGAGAGACUGCCGUCGUAAGAUGUGAGGAAGGUGGGGAUGACGUCAAAUCAGCACGGCCCUUACGUCCGGGGCUACACACGUGUUACAAUGGGGGGUACAGAAGGCAGCUAGCGGGUGACCGUAUGCUAAUCCCAAAAUCCUCUCUCAGUUCGGAUCGAAGUCUGCAACCCGACUUCGUGAAGCUGGAUUCGCUAGUAAUCGCGCAUCAGCCACGGCGCGGUGAAUACGUUCCCGGGCCUUGUACACACCGCCCGUCAAGCCAUGGGAGCCGGGGGUACCUGAAGUACGUAACCGCAAGGAUCGUCCUAGGGUAAAACUGGUGACUGGGGC
rnacentral:rRNA from 1 species